UACGAAGGGGGCUAGCGUUGUUCGGAAUUACUGGGCGUAAAGCGCGCGCAGGCGGCCAUCCAAGUCAGUGGUGAAAGCCCGGAGCUCAACUCCGGAACUGCCAUUGAAACUGGUUGGCUAGAGUACGAGAGAGGUGAGUGGAAUUCCCAGUGUAGAGGUGAAAUUCGUAGAUAUUGGGAAGAACACCGGUGGCGAAGGCGGCUCACUGGCCCGUUUCUGACGCUGUAGCGCGAAAGCGUGGGGAUCAAACAGG
rnacentral:rRNA from 1 species